UCCACUAUAGUUCAGUGGUAGAACACCCCGCCGAUCAGUGAAUUCGGCGGCGGGUGGACGGAGGUUCGAUUCCUUCUGGUGGCA